rnacentral:sRNA from 1 species
UAGCUUUGAUAACAAGAGAUAGCUACCUUCCAAAUAUCAUUCAUGCAUACUUCACACUACUCUGGCCCGGUGGCGUAGCGGUUAACUACACUGCCAGGUGUCCCAGAAGGGGCGCGGGUUCGAAUCCUGCAGGGCUCAUUUUAACCAAUUUCCACUGUUAAAUCACCAAACAGUACCGGAAGUCCCCGGGUUCGGAGACAUUCGGGCGCUAAUUCUCACUGAUCUUGUGGGGCUAGAACCCCCCGGGUGCUUCAAGUUAGAUCAGUACUAGGUAGGUUAGUGGGGUGGUGGUGGCGUGGUGGGUGGAGCAACCCGCAGGAUAGCGAAUCAUCGUCAAGCUUAACUGGCCAGGGAUUCAUUGCACUGCCCCAUUCAGCCCCACCAACCUAUCUAGGCACCCCUAAAUUCCGGGGAACUAACAAAUAAAAACUAUCCGAUUAGGACACCCCGGGCCUGGCGAGGACCUAGGUGAGACGAGGCCUAGGCGCCCUUAAUAGGUGGUUAGUGCAAGCAAGGUCGUGACGGCCAAUUGGUAGGCUGGAACUGGGUAGCUCUGGCGUUAUUCUUAGUGAGGAUCCCACUUAGGUAGGCUAGUUAAAGAACCCGGGUGGGCGGCGGCACCCUAGGGGGAAUGAUAACCCCUAAUGGUGGCCCGAGAGGACAGAGGCGGCCGCCGGUUAUAUAGGGUGUUAAAAUAUGUAUAAAGCUUAAGGUGUGAACUGCAGGGGUUUGUCCUGUAGGUAUUUGAUUUUAUUUGCUUUUGAAUUUCAUUUUAUAUUUGACUUUAUAUUCUGUUAGUUGUGGCUUUGGUGAUAGAUUUUGUUUUCAUUCUCUGAAGAUAAUAUUUCAUUUGUGUAUUAUGGUCUUUCUUUCAUUUGUUUUGCUUAUCUUUAAUAUUUAUAUUGUCAUUCUUUUGAUAUUAGUUUCUUUGAUUGAAUAGUUUGAAUAGUUGUUUGAUUCUGGGCUGGAAUUCUGUUAUUGCAUGUACUAAAUUGGUUUUGUUGCUACCGAGUCUCUAACCUAGCAAGCCUCUCACUGGUUAUAAGCUAAGGUCGGGGCUUAUAUAGUGUUGCUGAGCUUGUUCACUAAGUCAGAAGGUAGUGCCACUAUCACAGGCUAAGAUAUAAUGUCAAGAGGAAUAUCUAGAAUGACUAGCAAUAGCUAAGACAGCAGUCUAAGAUAAACAAUAAGAGUAUUUAGUAGGGCUUACAGAGUAGGGUGAAUGCUUAAGGUAUGUGUUGUGAAGAAGUAUACUUAAGGUGAGCUUAUAGUUGUACUAUAUAACUGAGUAUAAGUAAUAGAAUGAAUAAU